CGCACAGGAGGCUUGACGUCACUGAAGCGCCCUGCUUCUCCUGAGCCGCUUGUACUGCUGGCAAAAGAUGGAAAAAUCUGAUUGACAUUUAUCCAACAUUUAACGCGAAAUUGCCACUUCUGACACCCGUGUCCAUCUGACAAAAGGACAGCGACCUGGAACUGAUCCGAGCUCCACCAGGCAACCAGAGAAAGGCCAGCGUGAUUGUUUCAAGACAGGAUAAUUGGUCUUUAAAGUGAAGCUCCACAGAUCAUGAAUGUUCUGCUUCCUGUGUCCAACUGAGCGAUCCCCAGCCUAAAUCCAUCCAGCUGGAAAAAGGCAGUAGAAGUCAUACACCUACAGAUAGUUUUGGGUGUGCAUCCGUUUUUUUUUUUUAGCUAGCUCAAAAAUGUACGGAAGUGCUCGCUCUGUCGGCAGAGGGGAUGCCAACCAUGGGGGAGGAAGAGAUGCGGGUGGUUCUAGCAGUCAGGGGUCUGGACGCUCCCCCCGCCUUCCCCGCUCUCCCAGGAUGGGACAUCGGCGCACCAACAGUACAGGCGGCAGUGGAGGAGGACCUGGAGGAGCAGGGGGCAAAACCCUUUCUAUGGAAAACAUCCAGUCCCUCAAUGCUGCAUAUGCCACAUCAGGACCAAUGUAUCUAAGUGAAAAUGAGGUCGCCAUGGCAGGUGAUCAUGUAGGCAGAAGUGGAGGGACAGGGACCACCAUAGGGAGACAAAGGGUGACAUAUGCGUCCAGAGGCAGCAGCGGUGGAGUGGUAGCUGCCAGCACUCCUAAUAUUUCCACAUCAAUGCCUGCUAGCGCUGUGCUGCCAGCAGGGAUGAUGGCGGGUGAUGCUCUAGCCUUUGGGGACCACCACAUGGCCUCCACAGUCCCCCAUUCUCUGAGGCAGGCAAGAGACAACACCAUACUUGAUCUGCAGGCCCAACUUAAAGAGGUUCUUCGCGAGAAUGAGUUGUUACGGCGGGACGUGGAAGUCAAGGAAAGCAAACUCAGUUCCUCCAUGAAUUCUAUCAAGACUUUCUGGAGCCCUGAGCUGAAAAAGGAGCGAGCUCUCAGGAAAGAUGAAGCUUCUAAGAUCACAGUUUGGAAGGAGCAAUAUCGUGUGAUUCAAGAUGAAGCACAGCAUCUCCAGAUGACGGUUCAGGCUCUUCAGGAUGAGCUGAGGAUCCAGCGGGACCUGAACCAGCUGCUGCAGCAGGAUCCAGCUAGCCAGGGGAGGGACCUGGCCCUGACCUCUGAACCCACUGAGGAGAACUACCGCCGGCUGCACGGGGAGCACGAGCGACAGGCCAAAGAGCUGUUCCUGCUUCGGAAGACGCUAGAGGAAAUGGAGCUGAGGAUUGACACGCAAAAGCAAACCCUGGUGGCCAGAGACGAGUCCAUUAAGAAACUUUUAGAGAUGCUGCAGAGUAAAGGACCGUCUGCCAAAGCAUCUGAGGAGGACCAGGAGAGGACCAGGAGGCUGGCUGAUGCAGAGAUGCACAGGCAUCAUCUGGAGAGUUUGUUGGAGCAGAGGGAAAGAGAAGUUACAGCACUUAGAGAGGAACUUCAUCGUCGUUACGAGGGAACCCCAGAAUCUACCAAAACAAAGGCUCUACAGACUGUUAUCGAUAUGAAGGAUGCAAAAAUCAACUCCAUGGAGCGGGGUCUGCGGGACAUGGAGGAGGAGCUGCUGAUGCUGAAAUCAAACGGACUUCUGAGCUGUGAGGAGCGGCAGGAGGAAAUGAAGCAGAUGGAAGUGUACCGCAGUCACACGAAGUUCAUGAAGAACAAGAUGGAGCAGGUGAAGCAGGACCUUUCCAGGAAGGACACCGAGAUGCUUGGUUUGCAAACGAAGCUGGAGACCCUGACCAAUCAGUUCUCUGACAGCAAACAACAUAUUGAAGUUCUCAAGGAAUCCCUCACUGCGAAGGAGCAGCGAGCUGCCAUCCUACAAACAGAGGUUGAUGCUUUACGUCUGCGCUUGGAGGAGAAGGAGGCAACUCUAAACAAAAAGAGCAAGCAGAUCCAAGAAAUGUCAGAGGAGAAGGGAACCCUCAACGGAGAAAUCCACGACCUGAAGGACAUGUUGGAGGUUAAGGAGCGCAAGAUUAAUGUCCUACAGAAAAAGAUUGAGAACCUGCAGGAGCAACUUAGAGACAAAGAGAAGCAGAUGAGCAGCCUGAAGGAAAGAGUGAAGUCUUUGCAGGCGGACACUUCCAAUACCGACACUGCUCUCACAACCCUGGAGGAGUCGCUUUCAGAAAAAGAGCGCAUCAUAGAGCGUCUGAAGGAGCAGCGAGACCGAGACGACCGGGAGAAGACGGAGGAACUUGAAUGCACCAAAAAGGAACUGAAGGAGUUGAAGGAGAAGUUAAGUUUGCUGCAGGGAGACCUGUCAGACCGAGAGACGUCUCUACUGGACCUGAAGGAACAUGCAUCUUCCCUGGCCUCCUCAGGACUUAAGAAAGACUCAAAACUGAAAAGUAUGGAGAUCAAUUUGGAGCAGAAAAGGGAGGAGUGUCUAAAACUGGAGAACCAGCUAAAGAGAGCUCAGAAUGCGACGCUGGAAGCACAAGCCAACACGGAGCUGGCCGAGCGCAUCAAGAAUCUGGAGCGAGAAGUGAAUCGCUACAAAGAAGAUUCUGUGAAGGCUCAGGCAGAGGUGGACCGCCUGCUGGAAAUCCUGCGAGAAAUGGAGAACGAGAAGAACGAUAAAGACAAGAAGAUCAGUGAACUGGAGAGUUUGGCUUCCAGGCAGAUGAAGGACCAGACGAAAAAGGUGGCAUCGCUGAAGCACAAGGAACAGGUGGAGAAGAGCAAGAACGCUCGUCUGAUGGACGAGGCCAGGAAGAGGGAGGACAACAUGUCCGAAUCCUCCCUGCAGGUAAAGGACACUCUGCGUCAGAAGACGGAGCGCAUUGAGGAGCUGGAGGAAGCGCUGAGGGAGAGCGUUCAAAUAACUGCUGAGAGAGAAAUGGUGCUGGCACAGGAGGAGGCUGCCCGCUCGCUGCAGGAGAAACAGAAGCACUCACUCAAACCAAUGCAUGAGUCCAACCUCGCCCACUUUAAGUGGUCUAAGAUGGAGGAGUUGCUGGGCGCCAUGGAGAAGGUGAAACAGGAGCUGGAGUCGAUGAGGGCCAAGCUGGGCUCCACCCAACAGUCUCUGUGUGAGAAGGAGGCACAUCUCACAACCCUGCGAGCCGAGCGCAGGAAACAUCUGGAGGAGGUGCUGGAGAUGAAGCAGGAGGCGUUGUUAGCUGCUAUCAGUGAGAAGGAUGCCAACAUCGCAUUGCUGGAGUUAUCAUCCUCUAAGAAGAAGAAAACCCAGGAUGAGGUGGCCAUGCUGAAGCGGGAGAAGGACCGACUGGUGCAGCAGCUCAAGCAGCAGACUCAGAACAGGAUGAAGCUCAUGGCAGACAACUAUGAGGACGAUCACCUAAAGACUGCAGCUGACCACACAAACCACAAACCUUCUCCAGACCAGGAUGAUGAGGAGGGUAUUUGGGCAUAGCUGGUCUUUUGCCCUCCUCCUCUCUCUCACAUCUGUUUUGUUCCGAAGGAUGAUUCCCCCUCUUUUAGCCUUAUGCCAGAACCGCAGUAAGCUCAAACUCUACAUUGCACACUUGACCGACCUCUGCCACGACCGAGAUCCCAGCAUCCUCAGCCAGCUGACCCCGCCCCCUCACUAUCACCACGGCGACCCGGCAGGUUGGGAGGAGGAGCUUCAGAAGAUGAGCCUCGAACAGCUGAAGCAGGAGCUGGAGGUGUGUGAGAAAGAGAGCGGAGAGCUGCAGGAAUUUGCCAACGCCGUUCUCCAGCAGAUCGCAGACUGCUGCCCCGACAUCCUGGAGCAGGUGGUCAAAGCCCUGGAGGAAUCCUGAUGACCGCAGGAGUUUCUUCCCUUCCCCAAAACAAUGACUGACACACCGGGGGGUUAUUCUUCGUCCCACUGGACUUUGAAGCCGGAAGUGCUUUUUUUGCCUCGUUGUUGCUCUGAGGAGAGACGGUACAACCAAAUUAACAUCCCAUUGAAGAAACAUUGGAUUUCAAGCACAAACCUGAACGCAUCACGUCAGGCAGAUGACUAAAAUUGCUGCGAACAAAACAAAUGGGAUUUUCCUCUCUAGCUUAAAAAAAGUCAAUGUCAGAUGUCAGUUUCUAAAUUUGGUCGAGACGUUUACAGGUUAGAGGAUAAACCCUCCCUCUGGAGGUCUUGGGGUGUACCACCAAACCUCCUCUUUCCUCUGGAGAGCCUCACUCAGAGCAAGAAUCGCCUGCUCGCGCACUUUCACCUGUCUCCACUGCUCCCAUUCAUCCCUCAAAACUAAAAAGAGGUACAGGAAAGCACUUUCAGUCAGGAAGGUGGUGCAGGGUGGAGUGGUUUUUAAGCACCACCGUUGAACCAAAUGAGCACAAACGUCGGUACGCUGCUGCGUGGUCAGUGGCUGGAUCAUUGGCAUUAGAGGGGGGGUCAAGGCGUGUCUUUUUAAUCAAAGAUCCGAUUUUAGUUAUCAUGUUCUCCGUGAGAGAGGGGAUGGAAAAAAAAAAACAACCCUACUUGUUUGUGGUUAUGUGUUCAUCUCUGGAUGGUUUUGCACACGGCACCCACUUGUUUAUGAGGUAUGCAAUGUUUCUUUUGAGAACGUUCUCGUGGCCUUGGAGCAUGCACAAAGACCAGAACUGGACCUAAAGCAGGGAUCUUUAUUCCUCUGUAACAAUGGUGCUAAGGCAUGAAGUAAAAGGUUUUCAAAUAACACUUAUUCAGUUUCAGAUAAAGUUUCUAUAGGUGUCACUUAAACCUCACCUCUUUAAUUUACCAAAAAAAAAAAAAAAACGUUUCCUCCUUUUUUUCUAAUUUACUUUUUUUUUAUCUUUAGGGAUGAGGUUUAAUUAAGUGCAUCUACUUUUACGGAAACACUUUUCAAUAGAGUUCAACAUUUGAAAUCAGUUUGUAAAUAAAGUGAUAUUUAACACGUACCGUCACUGAAUAAAGUCAAGUGAAAGGUGUUGUGCAUUCUCUACAGAAAUACUUAUUAAAAGAUAAAAGCAGUGCAGUUGUCAGGGUGUGUGUGUGUGUGUGUGUGUGUGACAGUGCUGCAGAAAGUCAUGUUCUUUAUAUGGAAGAAAUAAAUACUGCUUAUUGUAUGGAUAUGCAUUGAAUGUUUGUACAGAUUCUCCAAGUUUGUUGCUCUAAAAAAAAAAAAAAAAGCAGGAACUGAGGAGCGUCCAAUGUCAAAAGAAUUCCAUUCCGAAUGUUUUUAAAACAAAGACUGUGGGAUAGGAAAGCACUUUCCUUGCAUUUAUUUUAAAAUACUUUUUUCAUAAACAUAUAUUCCCUGAAAGGUGACAUCUUAGAACUCCUGGAUCCUUCAUUUUCUUUUGUGGAUGAUUUAAUCUUGCUGAGAUUAAGGAAUAAAAAAGCACACAAUCAGCAAAAAUAAAGUAAAAAGGUGUCAGAUUAAGGUGGAUUUUCUGCUAAACUGCAGGUUUCAGAGUGUCUCCCCCCUCUGUGGCCUGUGCCUUAAGGCCGUCUCUGCUUUACCUCAGCUCUUUCCUGCGCGGGUCACAGAGCUGCUGCGUGAGAGGCUUCAGUCUACUUCUGUGUGUGUUUGCGUAAGACUCGUACUGCCUUGUGUCUGUUACUAAAUCAAACUGUAAAAAAAAAAAGUGAAACAGACGUGUGACUUCUUCAGAUUUUGUAUGUAUGUAAAUAAAGAAAUUAUAAGCCUGUGGA